ensembl:snoRNA Gm22304 predicted gene, 22304
ACCCUCUAGUUUCCUUUCCCGUCGGGUCUCAACACUGGUCUCGGUGGUCGUAAAGGAGGAAGAACACACUGAAGCUGGCCUAACAGUGAUGCAGUCUGCUGUAGAGCAUCAGGCCAGAUCCAAACAUCU